ensembl:lncRNA
UUUAGGGCCAUACCUGUAGCAUAUGCAAGUUCCCAGGCUAGGGGUUGAAUCCGUGCUGCAGCUGCUGGCCUACAGCACAGCUCGUGGCAAUGCUGGAUACUUAACCCACUGAGUGAGGCCAGGGAUCAAACCCACAUCCUCAUGGAUACUAGUUGGGUUCAUUACCACUGAGCCAUGACAGGAACUCCCACACUGAAAUUUAAGAAGCAUUCUUGGAUGUAAGGUUGCCUUCAAGCUCCUAGCUGUGUUCCAUGGAAGUCCAGAUCCUGAGUGUAUAUUCUAGGGAAAUCAAAAUCCCUUCCCAUAUUAUCCAUGAAUUCCCAGGGAGCUCACUCUCUGAGUCACCUCUGAGAAUCACCCAGUGACUGCCUCCCUCUUUCCUAUCCUCACCCCUUAUCCUUAAAGGCCUAUUUUCUAGAGAGGGUCUCAGAUGAGUCAUUUCUCAAAGGUUCAUUCCUCUCUUGGGUUACUAUCAGAGGCAACUGCAUGGUGGCUGUGCUUGGCUCUGGGAAUCUUCUUCAUUUGAAAAUCCAAGCUGAAGAGACAUGACACUCUUAAGGGAGAGUGAGAAAAAGACAUGGCUGAAAUUUGCAAUGACUCAAUAUUUCUGCUUGGUCUUGAUCUAAAUCACUCCUACUUAGGUUCCAUCGGCUAAUGCAAGUCAUAGGCUCACAUCUGAUGUUAGUAAUAUGCAGGAGUAUACCCCCUUUCCAGGGAAACACUGCAAGCCAUGGGACAAAAGUUGGGAAUGUAGAAUUCUCUUAUCAAAAGACAGAGUGAAGAAUUAUGUCCAAUAAUAUAACAUGACACCACUUACGUAUAAGGAUGGCUCCAUAGGUAGAAAAACAACAAUUGGAAAAGCAACCAGAUCUUCCCCAAUCUGAAUCCCAGGAGAUAAUCCUGAGGGAAUGUAGCUGAAGCCUUAAGGGAAAAGUGUUGGCCUCAUGAUAGAGAAUCUGGAAAAGAAUCCUGCCUCAGUCAAUUCAUUGUGUACAACGGCAAUAAAUUUACUUCCCUCUGGAGAGUUCUUCACUUACUCAUGACUUCCUGCAGGAUCUACAGGAGCGAGUGCCCAACAGCAGUGUCUGUCCACUGUGACACUACUCAUGGGCCAGGUUUGAUCAGACCAGGGGAAGGCUCCCGUCCCAAGCUGGUUCAACCAGGUCCCAUCUGUGGUAAUGUGGAAUCCAAACAAAGAAGGGCAGAAGAUCAAUCUCUCUUAUGGCUGGAGUGACGACUUGUGAUAAUUUGGAAGUGGGAGGUUGUCACUCCUCUAACCAUUUGUACAAAGUGGCUGAAAAAGCACGUCUUUGGAGAAAUCGAUAGAGGCAGCCCAUCAGCCAAACAGAGAAAAGGGGCAAGAAAGAAGAGCAGUAUUCCCCUGUAGCUUUCUUCUUCCCAGGUCUUGUCAUUCCUUGGUCCCUUUUCUGUGGCUCACACAGAGACUGGGUUAUCUGAAUCACCCUGCAUCAUUAAUGAACUUUAGCUUAAGUUAUAUUCAGUUGGUUUCUGUUGCUUGGAACCUAAAGUUCUUUGAGCAAAUCACACUCGCCUCUCUGAGCUUUAACUUGUUCAGCUUAAAAAUCAAGACAGUGUUGCUAAGGCACUGAAUUGUUGAAGAAUCAAAUGGAUGUAAAAAGUUCUAUAAAAAUCUGAAGGGCUGUUAUUACAGGAGAGAGAUAUCAUAGAUAAAGCAAAAUGGCUUAGAAAGAAGGUUUGCUAGGAAUUUUUGAAAUAGUGGUUAAAAAUAAGAAAAAUAAUAAUAGAAACUAAUCAGGAAUAUAUCAGAUGCUGUUCUAAGUAUUUUAUACAUAUUAGCUUCUUUAAUCUUCACUUCCACCUUGUUUUGUAUAGGUUCUGUUCUUAUGACCCAUUUGAUAACUAGCCAAGGUCAUAUAAUACUAGGUGGCAAAGUAUUAUCUUUGGCUUUUAUAUGUUUCCUAACUCACACAGUGGACUAUGUUUUGAGAAUUAACCAAAAGCAUCCUCACAAAGCAUAUGACACACAGUAAGUACUGACCCAAUAAUCUCUUCCAUAAGAACACACAUCAUAAAUCUAUUUCCUUACUACAUUGCAAACAAAGAAAAUAAGACAUGCAACUACAUGGAGGUAACUUUCAAAUAAAAAAAAAGACAAUUCUGUUUCCAUAGCAGGAGACAGGCUCAUUAAACUCAUUAACCCAAGUGUGAACAGGCUUGAAAAUUUGUAGUGCUUUCAUGAAAUCUGGCUAAGCCAGGGCCUCAAGCCCUCUCAUUCCAGCAGAAUCAUAACUCACACUCUGCAGUGCCUAUUGACAAUAAAACCUUUUUUUAAGGGGCACACCUGUGGCACCCAGGCUAAGGGUCAAAUCAGAGAUACCAGCAUACACCACAGCCACAGCAAUGCCAGAUCUGAGCCAUGUCUGUGACCUACACAAUAGCUCAUGGCGACACCAGAUCCUUAACCCAUUGAGCAGGGCCAGGGAUCGAACUUGCCCUUCAUGGAUACUAGUCAGGUUCGUAACUCCCUUAGCUACAAUGGAAACGCCAAUAAAAACAAACAAACCAAAAAAUCUCAGCUUUGAGCAUGGCAGGUCUCAAUUGGGUAUGAAAUGAGAGAGGGCAAGGACACUGAGAAUGAAGAUAUGGUGCUAUACCUUGGGGCUUGUGCAGGCAUCAUGUCAUGUUACAGAUAGACAACGGGAGCUCCAGGAGGCAAAGUAACAACCAGGAAGCGGGAGGGCUGGAUUUCAAAUACAAGUCUCCCCAACACUGGAAGUGCCUGCUUUCCUCCCCACACCCUGAAAAGCUUUACAAAAUUAGAUAGUUUCCACUGCUCAACAAAUAACCCAAAGUCAAUAAUUUCAAAUAAGAUGCACUUAUUAUCUCAGAGUUUCUGUGGGCCAGGAAUUCAGGACUUGCUUAUCUAGGUGGUUCUGGCUCUGUCAUGAGGUGACAAUCGAGGUGUCAGCUGGGGCUAUAGUUAACUAUAGGUUUGACGUGGGAGGGGGAAGAGGACCUGUUUCUAGAGGUCAUAGCUGACAAUGUGGUGCUGGUGAUGGAAAGGAGGCCUCGGUUCCUCUUCAUGUAGGACUGCCCACAGUUUGCUUGAGUGUCCUUGCAUCUUGGGGGCUGACUCCCCGAGAGCAAGCAAUGAGAGAGAGAGAGCACGCCAGGAAAGCUACCCUAGCCUCAGAACUCACAUAGCAUUUGUCACAUUUUAUUGAUCAAAAUAAGACUGCCCUACAUCCAAGGGAGGGAAAUUAGGCUUCACUUUUUGAAGACAAGAGAAUUAUGGACAUACUUUAGACCAUGCCACUGAGCAAAUGAGAAAGAAUUGGCAGCUCUGCUGUGAAUGGCCUGUCUUUUGUUUAAAAUGAAUCAUAGGUUUCCAGUACCUCUCAGGUUAGAGAUCAAAAUCCUCAACAUGACAGCAAGGCCAUGCAUGCCCUAUAGACUGUGUGGCCCCAGCCUCAAACCAGGUCUUUCCCCUUUUUGUUACACACCUGGACCGCUUUCAUUUCCUCUGAAGUGCCACACUACCGACAGCCUGAAAACCUCUCAGAGAGGGUCCCUUGGCCUCCAGCCUGCUCUUGCCUUGCUCACCUUCAUCCAUCCUUCAGGUCCUGGUUCAAAGGUUGCCUCUUCAUCAUACUUUCCCUGAGCUCUCAGACUGCCUCAGGUCCUAUCAGAAGCUUUUAUGAAUCCUUGGUUUUGAUGAUUCUUUUCAUCUGCCAUUGUGUAUGGAUGUGAUCAUGUGAUCCACAUCUGUCUUUCCCACUAACAUUCGGUCUGUGUUGAGACUUACUUUUUUACUCACUUUCGAAUCCCUGGCACUUUUCACAGUGCCAGGAAUGUAAGGUGUACUCAGUCACAAAUGUAUUGAAGGAUAAAUGCACAGAUAAUGAUCUUCUCGUCGCUGGAGGUGUGCAAGCAGAGGUGGAACCACCUCUUUAUAAGUGUAUUUCAGUUCUAAUGUCAGAUCAGAGUUGAUUGGAUGACUUUUAAGGUUCUUCAUUUUCAGGGGACUCUUUGAGAUUCUGUGAGUCUGUGAUUCCAGGGUCUGCAUUUACUGGGAGAAAACUCCAUCUCCUUGAAUGACUCACGGAUGGCUCAGGUCUCAGGUCUUCUGGGCUUCUAGGAUACACCCUCUCCAGGGGCGGCCAACUCCAGGCACAGCUGGCAGCCUGACACUCACAUCAAACACAAGGAAGGCCUAUGUUGGAAACCUUGGGAGCAGCUGCCUGGGGGCUCUAGUGAUUGGACCCUCUGUGGCUCCUUUAAGAAGUUUUACAAGGUUAGGGUUUGCUCUAAAAAUAAGCCCACAAGGCUUUUUAAAAAGCUUCUAAAACCAUAUGUCCACAACAGCCAUUUUUUGAAGGGCCAGUGAGCCUUUAAAAGCUUCAAGAGCCACUACUUGGCCUGCCUCCCACAGUGGAGAAAAUUCAAUAUGCAGUGUUUUUAAAAACAGACCUGCUUUUAAGUCUUCUAGAAUCUGCACCUGAAACAUUCUGCUGCUAUCAAAGGGGUUCGAGACGGAUAUCAGUAUGUAUGAGGUUCGUUACCCUAGAGGCCAAGUUUCUUUCCACAGUAAUCAAGCGCCCCACAUAACCACAAAACUGCAAUUAGUUGCUCAUAGAAAGAGUAGUUGAAGUUUUUCUUUUCCAUUCCCUCUCUCCUCCCAUAGGUCUCUUCAUACUAUGGCAUGUUGUGGAUUAUUCUAAGUGCAUACACACAUGUGCACGUGCAUGCACAUGCACACACAAACACACACACAACCAUGGUGUGUCCAAGAAAAGGUCCAUCCAGAUAGAGGGCCUAUCAGAUGAUGGGCAGCAAAUGCAGAAGAGCACUUAUUUGUUCAGGUGUUGGUAAAUCCACCAUUGGAACAUGAUUGUUAGGCAGUUAUAUAUUUAUAUACACUGAAUACAUUUCAGGUGGGAAGGCAGGGGUUAGAGACAAGGAGAGAGCAGUAGAAAAGAUAUUUCAAUGAAUCAGAAAUAUGAUCUCCCCCCAAGUUCCUCAAAAAACUAAAAAUAGAGUUGCCAUUUGAUCCAACAAUCCUGCUCCUGGGCAUAUAUUCAGACAAAACUAUAAUUCAAAAAGACACAUGCACACCCAUGUUCACUGCAGCACUAUUCACAAUAGCCAAGACAUGGAAACAGCCUAAAUGUCCAUCAACAGAGGAAUGAAUAGAGAAGAUGUGAUACAUAUAUACAAUGGACUAUUACUCAGCCAUAAAAAAGAAUGAAAUGAUGCCAUUUGCAACAACAUGUAUCAACCUAGAGAUUAUUAUACUGAGGGAAGUAAGUAAAAAGAGAAAAAACAAACACCAUAUGCUAUCACUUAUAUAUGGAAUAUAAAACAUAGCACAAACGAACUUAUUUAUGAAAUAGGAACAGACUCACAGACAUAGAGAACAGGUUGCCAAGGCAGGUUGUGGGAGAGAACUGGAUUGAGAGUUUGGGAUUAGUAAUCGCAAACUAUUAUGUAUAGGAUGGAUAAACAAGUUCCUGUUGUAUAGCACAGGGAAGUAAGUAUAUUCAAUAUCCUCUAAUAAACCAUAAUGGAAAAGAAUAUGAAAAAAAUACAUAUGUAUAACCAAAUUGCUUUGCUGUAAACCAGAAUCUAACACAACACUGUAAAUCAACUUUACUUCAACAACAAAAAUACUUUUUCUCCAAAGGCACUUUACAAUUUACAAGGAUUGGAGAGGGGUACAGAUGUGAUGAACCAUAUUUCAAGCUCCUUGAAUACUUCAAGCCUCAGUAAGGAAUCCCCUAUUGACCCCUUUACAUAAUGAGGAAACUGAGGUCCACAGAGGUUCAGACUAUUGCUCAUGAUUCCACAGUCUAGCAGUCUCCGUGUACACAUGUCUUGCUGUUUCCUCAACAGAAGAAAUACAACCACCCAGAAUAGUUAGGGUGAUGUAGGAUGGGGCUCAGGACUAUAAAAGCAGUAUCAGAAAAACCUGAUAGGGGAGUCAAAGAAAAAAGCAAUCCCUUCCAGCUACAAGGGUCAGAGAAGGUUCUGAAAUAACACCUUGCAGUCCAGUAAAGUAGAUUCUCUCUUCCCUGAACCUCGCCUCAGUCAUCUGCCUGUGUAAGUACAGUAUUUCUAUUUCUUGUCAAACAUCCAAGGCUAAGCACCCAAGAGAGAGGACUGCCUAUGAACUUCUGCUCAGAAUUAAACAUCACAGGGGAGAGAAGAACCAAUCCUCCUUCUAUGACACCUUGACAGAUGCUUACCCAGCUUAUGCCUAUACAUCCUUAGUGACAGGGAGCUUGCUACCUCACACAGUGUGACAUUUCUGGGUAAUUCAGACUACUGCUGACAGCUUUUUUUUUUUGGUCAAGUCACAAUCAGGCUCCCUAUGGUUCCACAUUCCAAAGUUUGGACCAUCAUGGCCCUGGAGAUGCAUGGAGAUGCUUUCCACAUGCUCUCUGAAGGUUUCUCUUUACCAAACUAGACUUUCCUGGUUCUUCAUAGUGGUAUAAAGACAUAGCAUGAGGAGCGAGGAAGAAAACUCUCUG